AUUGAACGCUGGCGGCAGGCUUAACACAUGCAAGUCGAGCGGGGUGAUGGUGCUUGCACUAUCACUUAGCGGCGGACGGGUGAGUAAUGCUUAGGAAUCUGCCUAUUAGUGGGGGACAACAUCUCGAAAGGGAUGCUAAUACCGCAUACGUCCUACGGGUGAAAGCAGGGGAUCACUUGUGACCUUGCGCUAAUAGAUGAGCCUAAGUCGGAGUAGCUAGUUGGUGGGGUAAAGGCCUACCAAGGCGACGAUCUGUAGCGGGUCUGAGAGGAUGAUCAGCCACACUGGGACUGAGACACGGCCCAGACGCCUACGGGAGGCAGCAGUGGGGAAUAUUGGACAAUGGGGGGAACCCUGAUCCAGCCAUGCCGCGUGUGUGAAGAAGGCCUUAUGGUUGUAAGCACUUUAAGCGAGGAGGAGGCUCUUUUGGUUAAUACCCAAGAUGAGUGGACGUUACUCGCAGAAUAAGCACCGGUUAACUCUGUGCCAGCAGCCGCGGUAA
rnacentral:rRNA from 1 species